rnacentral:rRNA from 1 species
CGAGCGAGCUUGCCUAGAUGAUUUUAGUGCUUGCACUAAAUGAAAUUAGAUACAAGCGAGCGGCGGACGGGUGAGUAACACGUGGGUAACCUGCCCAAGAGACUGGGAUAACACCUGGAAACAGAUGCUAAUACCGGAUAACAACACUAGACGCAUGUCUAGAGUUUGAAAGAUGGUUCUGCUAUCACUCUUGGAUGGACCUGCGGUGCAUUAGCUAGUUGGUAAGGUAACGGCUUACCAAGGCAAUGAUGCAUAGCCGAGUUGAGAGACUGAUCGGCCACAUUGGGACUGAGACACGGCCCAAACUCCUACGGGAGGCAGCAGUAGGGAAUCUUCCACAAUGGACGAAAGUCUGAUGGAGCAACGCCGCGUGAGUGAAGAAGGGUUUCGGCUCGUAAAGCUCUGUUGGUAGUGAAGAAAGAUAGAGGUAGUAACUGGCCUUUAUUUGACGGUAAUUACUUAGAAAGUCACGGCUAACUACGUGCCAGCAGCCGCGGUAAUACGUAGGUGGCAAGCGUUGUCCGGAUUUAUUGGGCGUAAAGCGAGUGCAGGCGGUUCAAUAAGUCUGAUGUGAAAGCCUUCGGCUCAACCGGAGAAUUGCAUCAGAAACUGUUGAACUUGAGUGCAGAAGAGGAGAGUGGAACUCCAUGUGUAGCGGUGGAAUGCGUAGAUAUAUGGAAGAACACCAGUGGCGAAGGCGGCUCUCUGGUCUGCAACUGACGCUGAGGCUCGAAAGCAUGGGUAGCGAAC